GCUCGUGUAGAUUAUUAGAAAUUGCAAUGCUGUUAACUUUGAGAAGGCCUUACAGGCCCUCGGGCG
rnacentral:tRNA from 1 species